rnacentral:rRNA from 1 species
GACGAACGCUGGCGGCGUGCUUAACACAUGCAAGUCGAACGGUGAACCUCUUCGGAGGGGAUCAGUGGCGAACGGGUGAGUAACACGUGGGCAACCUGCCCCCGACUCUGGGAUAACUCCAAGAAAUUGGGGCUAAUACCGGAUGUUCACCGCUUCCCGCAUUGUUGGUGGUGAAAAGGGUUUCCGGCUGGGGAUGGUCCCGCGGCCUAUCAGCUUGUUGGUGGGGUAUUGGCCUACCAAGGCGAGGACGGGGAGCCGGCCUGAGAGGGUGACCGGCCACACUGGGACUGAGACACGGCCCAGACUCCUACGGGAGGAAGCAGUGGGGAAUAGUGCGCAAUGGGCGGAAGCCUGACGCAGCGACGCCGCGUGGGGGAUGACGGCCUUCGGGUUGUAACCCUCUUUCAGCAGGGACGAAGCGAAAGUGACGGUACCUGAAGAAGAAGCAACGGCCAACUACGUG